rnacentral:lncRNA from 1 species
AGAUUGAAUCACAUGUAGCUCUUGUAAUAUGUAUACCUUCUAGUGGAUUCCAAGCUGUAGUCUCGGCCUUUCGGGGAGAUGUAGCGACCCUCGUUGGGCGUGAACUCCUUAAAUCUUGUGUGUGUUCCCAUCUUCUCAUUCUCUCUCUAAUCUAUUCUUCAAACUCUCGAGACUCUGUUUUCUACAACUCUGUUUUUUUUGCAGUGUUCUGUUUUUUGGACUUCAAGCAAUGUCUCUCUUAGUUUUGUUGUGAGUUCAUGCUGAGACAAGUGACGACUUUUAAGCUUCUGAAUCCUAACAAUAUUUACAUGAUUUUGUGACUUUCAGAUGCGUUUACAAUACUAAAGUUACAAUUUUUACGUGAUCUCAAAUUGCUUACUCAGUCUGGCAUUAGCUAUAUAGCCUAAUUAUUGCCCAAAAAGCCAAAAACUAUUUGUUUCACAUAAGACCGUUUCGCUUCACAACAUAUAAAAUUAUAAACUGCGUAUUCAAUAUUGUAGGACGGAAAAAGCUACCCGAUC